UUCUCUAGGGGUGGGGUGACACUGUAAAUUUUUCCCUUUUCUUUGCUACUCGAUUUCGAGUCUGGGUCGGGUACUCUAGCUGAUCCACUUCCCUCUGUUUCUGCAAUUUUAUCACCUGAGAAGGAUUUCUAAGUAGUAGAAGAGUAAGAAAGAUCCCUGAUAGUUCAUUACGACGAGCCUGUUGAAAUGUCUACCUUAUUCAAUGAAAGAUGUUCAUUACGACAGUGCAAAAUUCCGUCCUCGCUCAUUCUUCAGGGUUGUCAAGCAUGCAGAUAUCAUGGUGGACUUGGAAACGCUCCUGACUACUCGGCCAUUUCUUAGAUUUCUAGAGAAGUUUCAUUUGGAUGAGUCAGAAUGGCAGAAAAUAAUUUGGCAUCUUUUGAAGAUAUCGUGAGUAGGGUUGGCAGAUCUGUAAAGCAUUUGAAAAAUAUACGAAGAUUGAUUCUGGGGCUAUAGUUCUCUAAAUGAUGUCACCCAUCUUCCCCCUCAAAGAAGAGACAAGAUGGAGACUUACUUGGGCAUGACAUUGAAGUAUUUAUACUUGCUGUUUGGGGACGGCAACAGCAGUGUUAUUCCUCCGGAUAAGUUUGUUUUUAACAUAGAAGCUCACCCUUUUGCCAUCGACAGCCUGGUGAAAAAGGAAUGACUCAUCUAUUAUAAUUAUUUUGAGUAAUCAUGUAAAAGAAAGCACGUAAGGAUUUGAAGGUAUCCUGGGUGAGAACACUGAAUCAGUUUCCUUUGAUGUCAUUGAAGCAUCCUAACAUGCUUUUGCUGUCACGAUUGGCCAUUCGAAGAUUGGCACUGGCAAUGUUGUUGAGGAUGUGAAGUGGCAUUACAAUGACAACAGUGGCAAAAGCUCUUGGCUGCUCUACUGUUACUUUUCCAGUGCAUAAGUGAUUUGUUGUGUCUUGUGUAUCACCGGGGAAAUUGGAAGAGAGAUAUAGCUGCAAACCUCGGGCACCCUAAUGCAGAUAAGUCACUUGGGAUAGUUUAAUUGGAAAUAAGCCUUGGGUUGGGUUAUGUAGGUGUUGGGCCUUUGAUCCCAUGGGUUUUCUUUGUAAUAAGACACUUUAAUGGGCCCAAAAUAUGGA